rnacentral:rRNA from 1 species
UACAGAGGUGGCAAGCGUUGUUCGGAAUUACUGGGCGUAAAGGGCGCGUAGGCGGUCUUUUAAGUCUUGUGUGAAAUCCCUCGGCUCAACUGAGGAACUGCACGGGAUACUGGAAGACUUGAGUUCGGGAGAGGGAAGCGGAAUUCCGGGUGUAGCGGUGAAAUGCGUAGAUAUCCGGAGGAACACCGGUGGCGAAGGCGGCUUCCUGGACCGAUUACUGGCGCUGAGGCGCGAAAGCUAGGGGAGCAAACGGG